GACUCUUGGAACAAUUUAUUCAACACAAUUAACACAGCUGUCAAUAAAUAGCAAGUAGAGCAGCUCAUCAAAGCCUCCUAUGUGAAAGAAAACAUCUCCUUCAAGUAGACUGACACAAAAAGGUCCAACAUAGUUUUGUAUAAUAUAUAUAUAGCAUUUAUUUACAUGAAUAAAAUAUAUAAUGGUAGCAUAUUUAAGUUCUUUGCAUGCAAAAAUUCCUUGUUGGAAAUUACUUUUACCUUAAUGACUAUCAACACAAAUUAAAAAAAAAAAAUUAGAGAAAGAUUUUCAAUGGAACAGGUCAAAAAAAAAAAAAAGUACAACUAAAGUUCUCAUGCAUGCACAAAAUAUCACUCUAAAUAUAUACAUUAAAAUAACUUAGGCAUUUUUUUUGUCACCAGAUUUUUAUUUACAUAGUUGAUCUUUAUGAGAGGCAUUAGUAAUGUAUUUUUUGUUUUGUAAUCACAUAUUAAAAAAAUUAGAUUGUGUAUUAUACAACUAGUCUCCCAGCAUGCACUCGAGGUUCAAUGAGAAAGUAAAUCAAAUAUUAACAUCCAUAUCUCCUUCAUGAGCUCAAAAUAAACCAGAUAAUCAUUUCAACUAUUUUUUUUUCAACAAUACUUUAUUUUUUCUUCCACCAAAAAUUGAAGGAUGAAAAUCAAAUGAAAUCUCAAAAGGCCCAUAACCUCUGUAUGAAAAUAUAUCAGUAAUCACUGAUAUAACAAGUAUGUUAUUAUGUCCCUAGCA